rnacentral:rRNA from 1 species
AUUGAACGCUGGCGGCAGGCCUAACACAUGCAAGUCGAACGAGUGGCGGACGGGUGAGUAAUGUCUGUGAAACUGCCCGCUGGAGGGGGAUAACACUUGGACACAGGUGCUAAUACCGCAUACCAUCGGAUGUGCCCAGAUGGGAUUCGCUAGUAUGUGGGGUAACGGCCCACCCAGGCGACGAUCCCUAGCUGGUCUGAGAGGAUGACAAGCGCCACUGGAACUGAGACAAGGUCCAGACGACUAUGCGAGGCAGCGGUGGGGAAUAGUGCACAAGGGGCGCAAGGUUGAUGCAGCCAUGCCGCGUGUAUGAAGAAGGGCUUCGGGUUGGAAAGUACUUUCAGCGAGGAGGCGUUACUCGCAGAAGAAGCACCGGCUAACUCCGUGCCAGCAGCCGCGGUAAUUC